rnacentral:lncRNA from 1 species
CAUCUCCAUGCCUCCUUUCAUCAUUUUCUUCCUUUCCACGCCUAAAAGUUGGGUGCUCUCUCUUCCACAUGCCUAGAAGAAGUUCUGGUGACUUAGAGAUUAAAGAUCAAGGAGAAGAAGAAGAAGGCUGUAAAUCAAAGAGUUGAUCUCACAGUUAAGAUCAAAGGAGUUGAUCAAAGUCUUCAAGAUCAAGGUUCUUCUUAAGAAGAAGAAUCUUAUACGAGAAGAAAAGGUUUGAGAUCGAUUUUGAUGGAUAC